rnacentral:rRNA from 1 species
UACGUAGGAGGCAAGCGUUGUCCGGAAUUACUGGGCGUAAAGCGCGUGUAGGUGGUGGGACAAGUCUGCUGUGAAAGCGCCUGGCUUAACCGGGCGAGGUCGGCGGAAACUGUUCGACUCGAGGACGGUAGAGGGGGGUGGAAUUCCCGGUGUAGUGGUGAAAUGCGUAGAGAUCGGAAGAACACCAGUGGCGAAGGCGACUUACUGGACACAUAUUGACGCUGAGGUGCGAAAGCGUGGGGAGCAAACAGG